AGGACAAGAUUCACCACUUUGCAUGAAAUUUGUAAAUUAGUGGUAGUACAUGAUGAAUUGUAAUUGUAUUGUAAAAUUGUGUUAAGACAUGAUGAGUUGUAGUUCCAUUGUAAAGUGUUAUCAAUUUGUUAGUACAAGUUUGUAACUUUUGUAUUUGGAUAUAAUGAAAUAAGGUUAUUUUGUUUCAUUGCAAAAUUUUCUUACCCUCAAUGCUGCAAAGACUUGCAAUAAUAUCAAUUUGAUAUGGUUUGA
rnacentral:lncRNA from 1 species